rnacentral:rRNA from 1 species
UACGGGGGGGGCAAGCGUUGUUCGGAAUUACUGGGCGUAAAGGGCUCGUAGGUGGCCAACUAAGUCAGACGUGAAAUCCCUCGGCUUAACCGGGGAACUGCGUCUGAUACUGGAUGGCUUGAGUUCGGGAGAGGGAUGCGGAAUUCCAGGUGUAGCGGUGAAAUGCGUAGAUAUCUGGAGGAACACCGGUGGCGAAGGCGGCAUCCUGGACCGAGACUGACGCUGAGGAGCGAAAGCCAGGGGAGCAAACGGG